rnacentral:tRNA from 1 species
CAUACUAUUCUUAGUGAUAAUAUUAUUUACAUUAAUAUUAAGGUUGUGCAAUUCAAUCUAGUUUGA